rnacentral:rRNA from 1 species
ACAUACAAUGACUCUCGGCAACGGAUAUCUCGGCUCUUGCAUCGAUGAAGAACGUAGCGAAAUGCGAUACUUGGUGUAAAUUGCAGAAUCCCGUAAACCAUCGAGCUUUGAACGCAAGUUGCGCCCGAAGCCAUUUAGGCCGAGGGCACGCCUGCCUGGGUGUCACAC